rnacentral:sRNA from 1 species
UCUCUCUCUAGUUUCCUACGCCCACACGGGGAGGCCACCCGGAGACGGUGGCGCGUAGCCGGCGCGGGGCGGCUCGUCGGAGAAUCGAAUCGAGUCGAAUCGAAUCCACUCGCUAAGUCCGGGCCAAGGCGGCGGCGGCGGCCGGCGGCGAGGAGGAGUCGGCGAGGAGGCGGGAGCGGCAGAGCGGGCAGGUGGCGUGGUCGUAGUCAAGCCAUGUCUCGAGGCAGGCGCGGUGGAAGAUGUGACCGCAGGGGAGGCGGUUCACCACCGCCUCCGCCUCGAACCGCACCAGGCAGACGCGGCAGUCCGCCGUCGCGCCGCCGCCGCAGCGCCGGUGGCCGAACCGCGCCGGUCGGAACCUCGCCCUGAACGUGUCCGCCAGGCUGGGCCCCGCCGCCGCCGCCGCCGCGGAGACCGACACGGCCACGGCCGCGUCCUCCCCCCCUUCCUCGCCGCCGAGCAGCAGCAGCAGCGACGGCGGCGUGGGGAGCCCCAGGAACACCAGCGCCGCCCGCACCACGCCGGCCAGCGCCGCCACCGACACCACCGCGUUGUACAGCACGUACAGCACGAGGCUAUCCUUCGGCGCCGGCAUGCUGGAGAUCCCCAUC